rnacentral:tRNA from 1 species
AGUAAAAUGCCUGAUUAAAAGGGUUAUCGUGAUAGGAUAAAUUAUGUGAUUAUUAUUACUUUUACUA